GAGCGAACGCUGGCGGCAGGCUUAACACAUGCAAGUCGAGCGGGCACUUCGGUGUCAGCGGCAGACGGGUGAGUAACACGUGGGAACGUACCCUUCGGUUCGGAAUAACGCUGGGAAACUAGCGCUAAUACCGGAUACGCCCUUUUGGGGAAAGGUUUACUGCCGAAGGAUCGGCCCGCGUCUGAUUAGCUAGUUGGUGGGGUAAUGGCCUACCAAGGCGACGAUCAGUAGCUGGUCUGAGAGGAUGAUCAGCCACACUGGGACUGAGACACGGCCCAGACUCCUACGGGAGGCAGCAGUGGGGAAUAUUGGACAAUGGGCGCAAGCCUGAUCCAGCCAUGCCGCGUGAGUGAUGAAGGCCUUAGGGUUGUAAAGCUCUUUUGUCCGGGACGAUAAUGACGGUACCGGAAGAAUAAGCCCCGGCUAACUUCGUGCCAGCAACCGCCGUAA
rnacentral:rRNA from 1 species